UGGAAGGGAAAGCAGGAGAGCUGAACCAGCUGUUAAAUGAAGCAAAAUCAAUGCAGGAGAAGGCUGUUGCUUUUCAGCAAGAGAGAGAUAAAGUCAUGUUAGCACUGAAGCAGAAACAAAUGGAGACUACUGCCCUACAGAAUGAGGUAUGCAAGAGUUACCAGUCUUUGGGGGCUUGUGGGCAUAUUUGCAAACUAAACAAACUCUCAGGGAUGUCACACCCACCCCUAAUCCAAGUACACACAGCAACCUGGUCUGUAGGUUGCAAUAUAAUGCUCCUUGCAGGUUUAUUUGAGGGUGGGGAGGCAGGGGACUCUGGGCACCAGGGAAAGUCUCUGUAGAAACAUGUGGCACCAUCGAAGGAUGAAAAUUGAGUGAAUGAAAGAGUGGGUAGCUGAGGGUGAAUAAGAAAAGCUGAAGCAAUGUGCCCUCAAUUAAUUACACAGAUACAGCAUUUACGUGAUAAGGAGCAGCGUCUGAAUCAAGAAUUGGAGAGAUUGCGCAAUCACCUUUUAGAAAGGGAAGACACUUCCACACGGGAAGCUUUAGCAGCUGAGGAUCGGGAAUCUAAGCUUAAAAAGAAAGUCCAGGUUUUGGAAGAAAAGCUGCAGUUUUCAUCAACUGCAGUGGAGAAUGCCAGGU